rnacentral:rRNA from 1 species
UACAGAGGGGGCAAGCGUUGUUCGGAAUUACUGGGCGUAAAGGGCGCGUAGGCGGCCUUCUAAGUCGAACGUGAAAUCCCCGGGCUCAACCCGGGAACUGCGUCCGAUACUGGAAGGCUUGAAUCCGGGAGAGGGAUGCGGAAUUCCAGGUGUAGCGGUGAAAUGCGCAGAUAUCAGGAAGAACACCCGUGGCGAAAGCGGCUCUCUGGAACGGUACUGACGCUGAGACGCGAAAGCGUGGGGAGCGAACAGG